rnacentral:rRNA from 1 species
AAUAGAUACCCCGGUAGUCCACACCGUAAACGAUGAGUGCUAAGUGUUGGGGGGUUUCCGCCCCUCAGUGCUGCAGCUAACGCAUUAAGCACUCCGCCUGGGGAGUACGGUCGCAAGACUGAAACUCAAAGGAAUUGACGGGGGCCCGCACAAGCGGUGGAGCAUGUGGUUUAAUUCGAAGCAACGCGAAGAACCUUACCAGGUCUUGACAUCCCGGUGACCACUAUGGAGACAUAGUUUCCCCUUCGGGGGCAACGGUGACAGGUGGUGCAUGGUUGUCGUCAGCUCGUGUCGUGAGAUGUUGGGUUAAGUCCCGCAACGAGCGCAACCCUUAUUCUUAGUUGCCAUCAUUCAGUUGGGCACUCUAAGGAGACUGCCGGUGAUAAACCGGAGGAAGGUGGGGAUGACGUCAAAUCAGUCAUGCCCCUUAUGACCUGGGCUACACACGUGCUACAAUGGACGGUACAAACGGUUGCCAACCCGCGAGGGGAGCUAAUCCGAUAAAACCGUUCUCAGUUCGGAUUGUAGGCUGCAACUCGCCUACA